rnacentral:rRNA from 1 species
AUUGAACGCUGGCGGCAUGCUUUACACAUGCAAGUCGAACGGCAGCACAGCAGAGGUAACUCUGUGGGUGGCGAGUGGCGAACGGGUGAGUAAUACAUCGGAACGUACCCUGUUGUGGGGGAUAACUACGCGAAAGCGUAGCUAAUACCGCAUACGCCCUGAGGGGGAAAGCGGGGGACCCUAAAUAGAGCGCACUGGGGAGUGCGUUGUAUUUAGGGCCUCGCGCAAUAGGAGCGGCCGAUGUCGGAUUAGCUAGUUGGUGAGGUAAAGGCUUACCAAGGCGACGAUCCGUAGCUGGUCUGAGAGGAUGAUCAGCCACACUGGGACUGAGACACGGCCCAGACUCCUACGGGAGGCAGCAGUGGGGAAUUUUGGACAAUGGGGGGCAACCCUGAUCCAGCCAUGCCGCGUGAGUGAAGAAGCCUGGUUGUAAGACUCUUUCGGUACGGAACGGAAAUACGCG